ACGAACGCUAGCGACAGGCCUAACACAUGCAAGUCAGGGGCAGCACAAGGAGCAAUCUGAGGUGGCGACCGGCGCACGGGUGAGUAACACGUAUGCAACCUGCCUGUAAGCGGGGAAUAACCCGUUGAAAGACGGACUAAUACCGCAUAAUACUAAAUUACUGCAUGGUAAUUAUUUAAACAUUUAUGGCUUACAGAUGGGCAUGCGCAUGAUUAGCUAGUUGGAGAGGUAACGGCUCCCCAAGGCAACGAUCAUUAGGGGUUCUGAGAGGAAGGUCCCCCACACUGGUACUGAGACACGGACCAGACUCCUACGGGAGGCAGCAGUGAGGAAUAUUGGUCAAUGGACGAGAGUCUGAACCAGCCAAGUCGCGUGCAGGAAGAAUGUCCUUAAUGGAUUGUAAACUGCUUUUGCAGGGGAAUAAAGUGCAUCACGUGUGAUGUUUUGUAUGUACUCUGCGAAUAAGGAUCGGCUAACUCCGUGCCAGCAGCCGC
rnacentral:rRNA from 1 species